GACGAACGCUGGCGGCGUGCUUAACACAUGCAAGUCGAACGGUGAAGCGCCUUCCUUUUUGGUGGGUGUGGAUGAGUGGCGAACGGGUGAGUAACACGUGAGUAACCUACCCCCUUCUUCUGGAUAACCGCAUGAAAGUGUGGCUAAUACGGGAUAUUCUGGGUCUGUCGCAUGAUGGGUCUGGGAAAGAUAUUGUUUCGGUGGGGGAUGGGCUCGCGGCCUAUCAGCUUGUUGGUGGGGUGAUGGCCUACCAAGGCGGUGACGGGUAGCCGGCCUGAGAGGGUGGACGGUCACACUGGGACUGAGACACGGACCAGACUCCUACGGGAGGCAGCAGUGGGGAAUAUUGCACAAUGGGCGCAAGCCUGAUGCAGCGACGCCGCGUGAGGGAUGGAGGCCUUCGGGUUGUGAACCUCUUUCGCCAGUGAAGCAGGCCUGCCUCGUUUGUGGGUGGGUUGACGGUAGCUGGAUAAGAAGCGCCGGCUAACUACGUG
rnacentral:rRNA from 1 species